rnacentral:piRNA from 1 species
UUAUUGAAAAAAUGUUAUUGG